rnacentral:rRNA from 1 species
AGAGUUGAUCCUGGCUCAGGAUGAACGCUAGCUACAGGCUUAACACAUGCAAGUCGAGGGGCAGCAUAUCGAAAGCUUGCUUUGAUGAUGGCGACCGGCGCGACGGGUGAGUAACGCGUAUCCAACCUUCCCUAUACUAGAGGAUAGCCCGGCGAAAGUCGGAUUAAUACUCUAUGUUCUCCGUAGAAGACAUCUGAAAUGAAGCAAAGGUUUACCGGUAUAGGAUGGGGAUGCGUCUGAUUAGGUUGUUGGCGGGGUAACGGCCCACCAAGCCCACGAUCAGUAGGGGUUCUGAGAGGAAGGUCCCCCACAUUGGAACUGAGACACGGUCCAAACUCCUACGGGAGGCAGCAGUGAGGAAUAUUGGUCAAUGGACGAGAGUCUGAACCAGCCAAGUAGCCGUGCAGGAUGACGGCCCUAUGGGUUGUAAACUGCUUUUAUACAGGGAUAAAGUGACGUACGUGUACGUUUUGUAGGUACUGUAUGAAUAAGGACCGGCUAAUUCCGUGCCAGCAGCCGC